AAUUAUCAGGCCCGGUGAAUGGUAUGGGCAAGUAGGGCAAUGGACCCAGGCCCAAAAUUUUUAAGGGCCCAAAGUUUUUAAAAAAUAAACUAUAUACUAUAUGUUUUGUUUUUGUUAUUGGGCCUUUAACUGGAAACCUAAUUUAUUAUAAUCGAUCAACCGGCCUGCAUAUCUGUGAUUGACGUGAAGUUAGAGCGGGAAUCCAGAAUAGAUAAUACGAAGCGACGACGGCAGAGGAACAGGCAGCGCACACAGCCACACACAAAGCGGCCCCGAAAUCAGUUCACUGUUCAGCAGCGGGAAUCCGUGAAUACGAAGCGAUUAGCGACGUCUGUUCGGUUCUGUUCAGAGUGUUGUUGACCAUUCCGGUAACAGUAGCAUCGGCAGAAAGAAGCUUCUCAAAGUUGAAGUUGUUGAAGACUUACUUACGAUCGAGUAUGUCCCAAGAAAGACUCAAUGGCUUAGCAAUGAUAUCUAUUGAAAACGACAUACUAGAGACUAUGGAUUACGAAGACUUGAUCGAAAGCUUUGCUUCCAGAAAUGCUAGGAGAGCCG